UACGCCGGAUGCAAGCGUUAUCCGGAUUUAUUGGGUUUAAAGGGUGCGUAGGCGGACUUAUAAGUCAGUGGUGAAAUCUCGUUGCUUAACAACGAACGUGCCAUUGAUACUGUAGGUCUUGAGUACAGAUGCCGUUGGCGGAAUGUGUCAUGUAGCGGUGAAAUGCAUAGAUAUGACACAGAACACCGAUUGCGAAGGCAGCUGACGAAACUGUAACUGACGCUGAGGCACGAAAGCGUGGGGAUCAAACAGG
rnacentral:rRNA from 1 species